rnacentral:rRNA from 1 species
AUUGAACGCUGGCGGCAGGCCUAACACAUGCAAGUCGAGCGAGCGGCGGACGGGUGCGUAAUGUCUGGGAAACUGCCUGAUGGCGGGGGAUAACUACUGGAAACGGUAUCUAAUACCGCAUACCAUCAGCUGUGCCCAGGUGGGAUUAGCUAGUGGGUGGGGUAACGGCUCACCUAGGCGACGAUCCCUAGCUGGCCUGAGAGGAUGAUCAGCCACACUGGAACUGAGACACGGUCCAGACUCCUACGGGAGGCAGCAGUGGGGAAUAUUGCACAAUGGGCGCAAGCCUGAUGCAGCCAUGCCGCGUGUGUGAAGAAGGUCUUCGGGUUGUAAAGCACUGUCAGCGGGGAGGCGGUACCCGCAGAAGAAGCAACGGCUAACUCCGUGCCAGCAGCCGCGGUAAUUC